GAGUUUGAUCCUGGCUCAGGACGAACGCUGGCGGCGUGCCUAACACAUGCAAGUCGAGCGGGGAUAUACUGGAUGAGAGCUUCGGCAGGAUUCUGGAAUAUUCUAGCGGCGGACGGGUGAGUAACGCGUGAACAAUCUGUCCUGCACAGGGGGAUAACACUUGGAAACAGGUGCUAAUACCGCAUAAGACCACAGCACCGCAUGAUGCAGGGGUCAAAGGAGCGAUCCGGUGUAGGGUGAGUUCGCGUCUGAUUAGCUAGUUGGUGAGGUAACGGCCCACCAAGGCGACGAUCAGUAGCCGACCUGAGAGGGUGAUCGGCCACAUUGGAACUGAGACACGGUCCAAACUCCUACGGGAGGCAGCAGUGGGGAAUAUUGGGCAAUGGGCGGAAGCCUGACCCAGCAACGCCGCGUGAGGGAAGAAGGUUUUCGGAUUGUAAACCUCUGUCCUUGGUGACGAAGGAAGUGACGGUAGCCAAGGAGGAAGCCCCGGCUAACUACGUGCCAGCAGCCGCGGUAAUACGUAGGGGGCGAGCGUUGUCCGGAAUGAUUGGGCGUAAAGGGCGCGUAGGCGGCCUGUUAAGUUAGGAGUGAAAUUCCAGUUUUCAAGGUUGGAACUGCUUUUAAUACUGACGGGCUUGAGUGCAGAAGAGGUAAGCGGAAUUCCCAGUGUAGCGGUGAAAUGCGUAGAGAUUGGGAAGAACACCAGUGGCGAAGGCGGCUUACUGGGCUGUAACUGACGCUGAGGCGCGAAAGCGUGGGGAGCGAACAGGAUUAGAUACCCUGGUAGUCCACGCUGUAAACGAUGAAUGCUAGGUGUAGGGGGUAUCGACCCCUCCUGUGCCGGAGUAAACGCAAUAAGCAUUCCGCCUGGGGAGUACGGCCGCAAGGUUGAAACUCAAAGGAAUUGACGGGGGCCCGCACAAGCAGCGGAGCAUGUGGUUUAAUUCGACGCAACGCGAAGAACCUUACCAGGUCUUGACAUCGAUGUAAAGCCUAAGGGAUUAGGUGUGGCUUUGGCCGACAGAAGACAGGUGGUGCAUGGUUGUCGUCAGCUCGUGUCGUGAGAUGUUUGGGGUUUAAAGUUCCCCGCAAUCGAGCCGCCAACCCCUUUAUGAAUCCAGUUUUACUUAACCCCUUUUGAAAGGCCGAAGGGACUUUUUUAAUGAAAA
rnacentral:rRNA from 1 species